AAGCAAUAGGUUUAAUCGUCUUAGCGGCGGGAGGUGCAGAGCAAUACUUUUCCCGGCUCUUACUUCUCACCUCAUCUCACCAACUGUAAAAUAAUUCACGAGAUGGAUAUUGCUGGCGUGGCGUCACAUUCAAAAACCUUAAAUUAGGGUUCAUCACACCCUCCUUUCUAAACAAUACACUAUUAUAAAGAGGCAUAAACCUUUCCAGCUUUCCCUUGUCACUCAAAGCAAAACACACACACGCAAAAAGAGGAGGCAUAUUUCAGGUUUGUGUAUGAAUCUAAUAAAACCAUAAGCUAGAAAAAGAAGAUGGAAAGGUGGAUUUGUUUCAUGUUAGAUUCACGCACAAACUCGUAAUCUGUCUUUUCAUUUCACCGCCUCAUCGUUUCUUCAAGUUGUUAUCUGUCAACAUCCUUUUUCUUUUUACCCCUCUUCCAUAAAUUGCCAAUUUUAGCUCUUUAAUUGUGGAGAACAAAAAGGGAAACAGAUAGUUGAUGCAAGCCUGCAUGUUGAGUUAAAAGAGGCGUCGACUCUCUAAAAUUUCAGGUUUGGUGAAGUGACUUGAAUCAAACAAUAAUAGGAAAACAAGGUAAAAAAAAUGGUGAUUGGAAACGAGAUUAUGAUUCGACUUUUCUAGUAGUUCUGUCCAGCAAAACACCAUACUCUUUCAAUGCAAACUAGGUAGAUGAAGUUGUUGAAAACUUUUGAUAUUUUAUUUUCAUCCUUUUUUGAUCUUGCAUCAUCAAUUAGAUAUCGCUAUGAAUUUCCUUUCCAACCUGAUUAAAAAAAAACUACUUCUCUUUGAAAGCUGGCACGAAUUGAAGAAACAAUUCCUUUCUAUUCAUUUUAGUUAUGUAAUUCCUUAAAAUUUUGCUGACCAGCAUGUGUAAUCCUCUGCCACGAAAUCUUAAAGAAUUUCAUGCCCUUUUGAGUAUGGCAGACGUGGUCAAGUAGUUUUCGAUGAAUAUUUGUAUUGGCUUGACCUUUGGGAUUGCGAUAGGGUGAAAUAUAUAGCCCAUUGCAUUCCAGCUUCAUUGAAGUAGUUCUGGGCAUCCAAAACUAAACCCUGAACAGAAACCCGUUCUUUGGAUAACAUUUGUUCCUUGUUCCUUUGGGACUGCGAUUGAGGGGAACUAUAUAGGAAUGGUGCAAACCAGCUUCAUUGAAGUAGGGCUUGGGAUUCAAAACUAACUCUGAAGGGAAACUGAUAUUUGUGUCAUGGGCCGUAGAUCAAAGCCUGUGACGAGUGCAUAUGGAAUUCGUUGCAUGGAACCUCUCAUGAAGGUCAACUGAUCAAAUGAGACUCGUUUAAUUCACGUGAAAUGAUCCGAUUCGUGUAACAAUGAAAAAUUCAUCAGUAGCUCUAUCAUAGUAAUUGUUGUAAAUCUUAAAAAGAUAAAGAUAUAUAGACUUUAAAUUCUUUGGGACUCUCAUCUUGUAGAUAAGCAUUAAUCUUAGUCAUCGAUAUAAUUCGAUCUGUACCAUUGAAUAUAAGGAAGUUUAAUUUUAAAUAGAGACAUUCUCCUCAUUUGUAACACUCGAGCAUUUACUCAAACA